UGCUCGCCUCGCCGCUGACCAGCAGCCACCCAUCGCCGCCCUCUCUCUCACCGGUUGCUUCCGCCGCCACCGCCUGCGUCGCUCCGCUUCUACCCCCGACGUUGCCUCCUCUGCUGUGUCAAGCUCGAGCCCCAUUCCGGGCUGGGAUUGGGAACCCCGACUUCCCAACCCUAGUGAGGCGCGAGGGAACGAACAAUCGGAUCGACGAUGCCGAGCUUCCCUCCGCCCGGCGCCGUCACCGUCUGCGAGAUCAACCGCGACCUCGUUGCGGCGGAGGCACUGUCCGACGACCGCGCCAAGGACGCAUACGGCGAUGUCCUUGGAAUGGUCUUCAGUCCUAUCCCUUUCCAGCCAGACACCCUUCCCCCCAUCCGCGAGCCCCCUGCUGCAGAGCAACCAGAGUCUACUGAGAACGUGCCCACAGCUAGUGUGACUUCCACCAUAUCUGAGUUCUUCAAACGGAUGAUCUUCCCUCCAUUAAAUCCAAAUCUGCUACAAGAAUUUGACAUCCAGAAAAUAAGUUGGAAUCCUCACAAGCAUUGUCUAGCUUUUGUGUCUGGGAAGAACCAGGUUAUUGUACAUGACUUUGAGGAUUCAGAUGCUAAAGAGCCGUUCAUUUUGACAAGUGACCAGCAAACCAAUGUUAAGGCUGUUGAGUGGAGACCAAAUAGUGGCAAGAUGAUUGCAGUCGCUUGCAAGGGAGGGAUAUGCCUCUGGUCAGCAUCAUAUCCUGGCGAUGUUCCAUUCAUGAAAACUGGGGUCACCCCUUAUUCCUUUAGUGCCUUCCCUAGAGGUUCUGGUGGUUGGUGGAUACUGGUGGAUGUUCUUCGUGACUCUUCUGCUGAGCAAGUUACCGCGCUUUGUUGGAAGCCUGAUGGAAGAUACUUGGCAUCUGCCUCCUGCAAUAGUCCAUCUUUCACGAUUUGGGAUGUGUCUCAAGGGUUGGGUACUCCUAUACGGCGUGGAUUAAGUAAUAUAUCACUACUGCGGUGGUCACCUAGUGGAGAUUAUCUUCUAGCUGCUAAAUUUGAUGGAACUUUUCACUUCUGGGAGACAAACACAUGGACUUCAGAACCUUGGUCUUCAUCUAGCGGAUAUGUGUCUGGAGCGAAUUGGGACCCAGAAGGUCGUGUUGCAUUGGUAUCCUUUUCUGACUCCACAACACUUGGCUCAAUUCACUUCUCAUCUAAGCCACCAUCUUUGGAUGCUCAUCUCCUACCAGUUGAACUUCCAGAAAUUUCCUCCCUGAUUGUCAGCCGAGGCAUAGAAAAAUUAUCAUGGGAUGCUUCAGGGGAGCGUCUGGCAUUGUCGUUCAAAGAUGGAAAUGAAAUGUACCGUGGUCUUGUUGCUGUAUAUGACGUGAGGAGAUCUCCACUUGUCUCAGUAUCACUAGUUGGGUUCAUUAGAGGACCUGGAGAAGGAGUGAAACCACUUGCUUUUGCUUUUCAUAAUAAAUUUAAGCAAGGACCCUUGCUUUCUGUGUGCUGGAGCAGCGGCUGGUGCUGUACAUAUCCACUGAUACUGCGUUCUUAUUAACUCCAAUCGUGGCGUCUCGCCAGUUCAGGACUGAUUGUUUCAACUACUGCUGUCGACCUGGAAUAUCGAACGUUUCACAUAGAGGUGUACUAACGCAGGAAAGGAUGUUCAUGCGAGCUAGUACUAGCAGCGAGCUGCCAAAUCCUAGAAGGAAGCGAUGCAUGAUCCAAGACGGGCAGCAAUGCCAAGCUUAUCCCGGUGUUGCACUACGCCAUUUCUAGGUAUACUAACGCAGGUGUAGAAGGACUUCAUCAAAUUUACAGUGCCGGCACUCUGCUGUACACACUUCUCGCUCUCUCAAACUGCAACUCAUCUCAAAACCAAAAAAGAACAAAGGAAGACAGUUGAAACAAAAAAUCUGAGUCAACUCCAAACAGCCAUUCUAACUAAUAAGUACAAAUCUGACAGUCAAACGAAUUAUUUCAAGCUGGAUUCAGAGAGCCCGACACUAAGUAGUCAGGAAGCAACACAAAUUUAGAAAUUCGAGGAUAAUAUAGAUCACUUCCACUGCAUUUCUCUAAACAGGUAGUCAUAAUUCACUAAUAGCAUUAACACAUUGUAAGAAGUAUAACGUAAGAACAACACACACCGAGAGCAGGGUGUAGAGUAAACAGAAACAUCUCUUUAUCACCCAAAAAUGUUAAACUAGUAUAACCACUAUUACUGCGCAAUCAAGCAGACGUUCUCAAGUUCUAAAACUAAACUUGUAGGCCAAUUCAAACAGGAUGCAGUUAGCAUAAUUUCCUGGUAACCUCCUGUGCAACAAGUCUACUGCUGAAAACAAAAGGACUUGCUAAGUUUUCUCACAACCAAAAACAAGUAUGGUCAUUUCUCAUCUCAUUGCAUCAGAUGCAAGCCAUAAGUUGUUGUUGUUGUCAUAAGGCUAGUCAAACCUACUCUCCUAGUACUAGGAACACAAGACUUUUGUGAGGCUCACUGUAUCCACGGUGAUGUAUCCACGGUGAGGGACGGUGAGGGAAGUCAAAGACGAAUGUAAAUUUUGUCAAGUUCACCUGGUAUCCUCCUCCCAUGAUAGCUGAAAUUCAACAAAAAACAGUAAUUAAUUUUAUCAUCCUACCAAUCCUUUUACGUAGCUUGUUUCUCAUUAGUUCCCACCAAAUAAUGUCACCGUAUUCAUAACUACUCCCUCCGUCCCAAAAAACAAGUCAUCCUAGUAAUUCUAGGAUAAAUUAACAAGAAGGUAAAAUGACCAUGUUUGCCCCUAUUUAUUACCUAUAUGUAGCACUAAUUAAUUAUUGUGAAUAUGCACUUUCUAAAUAAGGUAAGAUGACUUGUUUUUUGGGACAAAUCUUGAAUUCUAGAAUGACUUAGAUUUUUGGGAUGGAGGGAGUGCACAGUAAAACAAGAACCCAAAACCCAAGAAGAGGAUACAACAUCCAGCAACUAAAUAUAUUCAAAAUACACAAGAGUUUGAACAUUUCAGCUAUACUCCACGUAGGAGAGCUACGGUUUCUAAUUUUAUCAAGUAUAUAUAUAAUACUCAAGUUGAAUGUUCUCCCACAUCAAAUUCCAAACUACAGUGAGCACUGGGGCAAUGGUACACUGUAUUCAGGUUAGUCUAUUUGUCCUGUAUUCCAAUAUUUUCUGUAUUCGGAGAAAAGAAAACUCUGAAAUCCCAAGAGUCAUUGUGAAUACAACAAACUUUUUUCUACAUUCUGACUACAUUUAGCAUCUAUGUAAAAACUGACACACAAAAAAAAAUGAAAAUGCAACAAAAAUAUUGAAAGAAAGCAAGUCAAUCUUUUAGAAUACUCUUGACCAUGCAAGAAAAAAGAUAUUUUGAAGGUGAAGAUAUUACCAUGGAUAUAAAUAUUUAUGGAAAGUUUUAGAGUCACUUGUCUUAUAUGGCAAGUGAAAAAAUAUCUAGGAAUAUUCUAGAAUAUCUUUUGUUGUAUGGUAAAGUAGAAAAUAUCUAGGGAGGUUCUAGAGUAGGGGACACAUGUCAUCACCAUAUGUGUUGCCAUGGUUUAUAUAUAUAAGAACCCCCUCUCCCUCCCCUAGCAAUCUAAGAGGCAACAACACAUACAAGCCACAAGCAUAAGAGAGAGUUGGGGUUGUAGUGCUAGGUGAGUGUGUGAAUGAGUGCUAGGAUAGCCACUUAAGAAGUGUUCACACUGUCGUGUAAUAUUGUUGUUCGUGUAAUAAAGUGUUGUUCAAAAAAGUUGGUCUCCCAAUCUGCUUCUAUAGUUUCUAACUACCUAGUGCGUGGAUUGUGAUCUAUCGAAAGUUAGCUUUGCCUCCGGGAUCACAACGGUCCAAGCUUCAUCUGUAGGUUGGCUCUGCCACCCGGGAGCUAGAAGGUCGGCCCUGCAGCCAAAAAGGACCAAAAGGCACUAAGUAAUUAGAAAUUAUAAAGCUGUCCACUAUAGAGUGAGUGGGUGUUCCUAGGUAUGGGUCCACCUUCA